AUGAUUUUUCUUCUUUUUUCCAACUCAGCUGCACGGUGUGUUGGAGGGGGUCUCGAUGGCCUGUGACCUUGCCUUUAUCUGUCAGUCUGUCACCACUGGUCUUCAAAGUGCAGCUUAAAGGAUCUGAGGCUUCUGUGUGGCCUUGAUGUGAUCUGCUUUCCUGCUUCAUUCAGCUACAGGAUGCCCACAGAAGGAUGCAGAAAAGUUGAAGCAGCAUUUGCUACUUUCCUGAAGCACAGCUUACCUAAGCAGAGCUCUGUUGUCACCUUUGCUCUGCUCUUGCCACACUGCAGCACCCAGCCCUGGGCAUAAUUGAAACUGGGAACCAAAAGCUGGCUAGCACAGAGCCUAAAAUACCCAAGGACAUCCAUAACACAAUCUCAGAAGAGCCUGUACCAGCUUAUAAAUUGUCUGUACAGUGGGAUCUGUCAGGAGGAAGCACAGAUGACAAAAGUUUGAGACUGAA